AGCAGACGACAGGGGAGCGCGGAAGCGCUGAGAGUGCGGGGCCGCCAGUGAUGGCGCCGCCCGCAGACCCUCGAACCUGAUCUGGGUAAUGCCAGCGCAGGAAGUCGGUCUGUCCGUUCG
rnacentral:ncRNA from 1 species